ACAUGAGAGGCCCUCUCAAGGUUUGUUUUUACAAGGCUCCUCACACACCUGGCACUCACUGAAUAAAUGGAUGACUGUUUAAAGAAUGAGAAAGUACCUGUGGAAUAAAAAGGAAAAGUAAUUUGCCAAGAUUGAAAAUUCACUGAAACAAUCUCUCCUUCCUCUCAGUAUUUAGCGAGUUAAGGGUUAGUUUUGUACUUGAAUUAAGGAGCUUAAAUCCUGAACUCCACCACCGAUCCACUGUUAAUAUCUUGUUUAGAUAACCUUUCAGGUAUUUUUUCUGUGCAUAUAUCCUUUUUCUUCUUCUCACUUUACAAAAACCAAACAGCACAUCUUAUUUUAGGACCUGCUGUUUUUCUCUUAUGUCAUAGAUACAUUUUUAAUUUCCAAUAGCAGGUGGGUAGAGUGGGUGCUGUGGGCAGACAUAAGAUUACCACCCCUGUGCCUGUGAGAUGCUAAGAGAAGGGAAACCUGGGAGAUACCUGCAUUUAAAGGGCAGGUGGACGAAGAGGGACCCAUGAGCGGCCAGAAAGUGGAACACAAAGAUGGGGGGAAAGCAUGGCAACGUGGUCUGAAAGAAGUUGGAAGGAGAAAAUUUCAGGGAGCCUUCCUUCGCCUAAAGUGAGGGUGUGAAAUUUGUGUUUUGAAAGGGUCUGGGUUAGAGUUGCAUUUAGUUGCCUUUAAGUGAAACCCAAAGUCUUAACCAAAGAGGUUUUAUUUUGCUCAGCUGAGAAAGUUUCAGAGCGGGCAAUCAAGGGCUGGCACCACUGUUCAAGUUCAUCAUCAAGGACCCCAUGCCCUUUGUCGUUGCUUCCUCCACCAUUCUUAGCAUGAGGCAUCAUCCUCAUGGCUGCGUGGCCGCUGCUUUGCUUCCAGCCGUCAUUCCAACCAAGAAGAAGACAGAAAAGGCGCAAACGUCCCAUAUUACCGGAGUCUGUCCAUUUUCAUCAAAAGCUCCAUCCCAUAAACUUUGCUUUCAGAACGGGGUGGUGUGGCUGCUCCCAUGGAACAAGAGUCUGGGGAUAAGGAGUAUGUUCACCUGAGCACUCGGCUAAUCAUUUCUUCUGGCAAAGAGGAAGGGAAGGGAUGCUGGGGAAGCAACCCGCAGUAUCUCCUGUGUGGUGAUUAUAUUAGGCCCAAGCUCACAGCAUGCAGCCUUCUUAGAUUUAUUGCUUUUUUGUGAGAGGCAAAACUAUUACAGCAUUCCAUUUAAUUCUCAUUCUAACAGGAAGUAAAGAAUAAAUCACAAUCUGUCCUGGGCUGGUUUUCCUCAUAAAGUCGGGCACUUAGAGGGAUCCGUGUCAGCUAAACCUCUGGGUUCUGGCUCUUUUGGUUUUAUAGACAGGGCCCUCAUACAUACAUAUAUAUAUAUUUUUUUUAAUUAAAUUCCACCUUGCAAAAGUAGGUGGAAAAUCUAAGCACAGCAAGUUGCUAGGAGACCAGAGGGGCUUGAUUGGGUUGAGCUGUUUGGGGCUUGCAUGACUCAAUUUCUCUCACCUGAGGACAGACAUGCCUGACACUGGUUUAAUUUCCAAAGCUGGGGGCGGCGGGGGGGCAGAGUUGCAGCUCUGAGCCGAGGGAGAGGCCAGGCUAAGUUCUGCAGGAUGAGCUGUUGCAGGGUCUCUGAGGUGAAAGGAGCAGGCCACCUGCUGAGGUGGUGAAGAGAUUUCUCAACCUUUCUUCGUGAAGCAGGAAGUGUCCUGGAGAAGUUCCAUUUUUCCCCAAGAACCUUGCCCUCACCCUUUUAGGGCUUUCGUCUCUGGGUGGCUGGUCUUGAAACAGUGAGCUGCUAGGAGAAAAAGUCUGGGAGCUGUAGUCUGCCAUAGCCGAGGCCUUCCGUAGAGGUCAGGAUGGAUUUGCUUUUCCCCCAGCUCCUGGCCAUUUCUCGGCCCUGUCUCCCUGCGCCCCCGUGUUGCUAGAAAACUACCUUUGUUAGCUACAUUGAGCACAUGCCAGAUGCAGUUCAUCUAAAUGAGCAAGUGCUUUCUGGGACCAGGCCCAGUGGGAGAGAAGCUGAGUGGAGAUCGGUCAGCAUGCCAACCCCUGGCUGCUGAAAGGAAAAGCAUAUUAUUUCCAGAGGACUGUGUGUGCCAGCCCAUGGGCAGACACCAGGAAGAGGCAGGGUCCCUCGGCUGGAUCUUUAGUCCUGCCCAGCACCCUCCAGCCAAAGAGGAGAGCUGGCGCUGGGGAAUUUCCAUGCUGUAAUUCAUUUCAGCAGGAUAAACAGAGCUCCUCCUCUGGAAGGUUUGGCCCUGAGCGAAAGGCACUUGGAAUCGACCUGGGGGGCUCCGAGGUCCCAUGUGAAACUGAGAAGGGAAACAGAAGUCAGGUGACACGAGAUGCAGCGGGCUCUGACACCGAAAGGCCACCGGACCUGAUGAAUACCUUUGUUUGCUGGGAAGAUGCCAUGGGGUCUCCGUUCCCAUCGUUGGUUUAAAAACAUUAACAACAGCUUAGCAGGAUCUUGUAAACAGCUGCUGUCCUUUGAUGCAGCAACCCAGGAAGAAAAAGCCCAGCACUUUUGCCAGCACGGUGGUUCUACUACCUCAGGAGGUCUGAGCCGGAACCUGAGACUCUCCGUUUCUAACAAGCUCCAGGUGAAGUCACGCUGCUGAUCCACGGACCACACUUUGAGAUGUGAAGCUGGCUGUGCGAUGGUCAGGUCUGACCUGACGCCAUCCCAAGGAUCCAAGGAGCUUGGGAGAGUUUUGCUAACCCCAGAGAUGCUGCCCCUUCUGGAAUCUACUGGGCUUUGAACUGAACUUGGCGUGAGGCCUCUGGUGACCACUAGGGGCGUGAGCUGCCCCCUCUGCAGGCUGUGCCUGGUUGUUGACAGGUGAGGACUCUACUGAGAACUCGGCCGCACCACCUCUCUUCUCUGGGUUGGUAAGAAGGCAUCUACCCUUCAGCUACCAUGAGGAGCUUCUGUGUAGGGGAGAAACGCCAGUCACCCAGGGGGUGUGGGGCUUCAGCUCAGCCCUAUCCACUGACCGAAUAGUAAACAAGGCCCAUGAGGAGCGUCGGAGGUCAGAAGCUGAAAACAGACACCCAGGGCCAGCUCAUCACCAAUAAGAGGUUUAUUUUUAUCCCGUAACCCUCACCCCCUUAAAAAUUGGGAAGCACAUUUAAAGGGCUGUUUAGGAUCAGAGACACUUGAAGCAUUGGACCUGUGCCUGGCUCAGCGGAGGAAAAGGGGACAGGAAUUCAGUCUCCGCAGGACAACUACUUCCCAGGGCCUGCAGACCCACUGCCCACAAGAUCAGCCCAAGAUGAGAGGGAAGUCUAAGAGCUUUGCAAAAAUGUCUCCUCAGUGCCUGGGCCUCAUUUCCCAGGCUUGGAUGGUCCUUUCCUGUCCCAUCAAGGUCGCCAGCUGUCAUUGGUGUCUCCAGCCCAAAGGCCCAACCCAACUGGCUCCGAGAGAUAGUAAGUUCUUAAGAAACCUGUCUCCUUUGAGUAACAAGAGCUUUUAGCUUUAUUGUGAAUGCUGUGUAGACCACCAGAGCGUGCCCAGACACAACAGCUCAGCCAAGACUGAGGGUGGAGGAGAAGGAAUUCUCCCGGGGCUCUGGUCACUGAGAUCUGGACGUCACUAGCAAGGCGAAUAUCACACCCCAUGUGCCUCUGGGUCUAUCUCUAACCAGCAAGUACUCAGAAUCAGACUGCAGCUCCCUCCUCAUUAAAACACUUCAGUAGGAGUUUCCAUUGUGGCUCAGUGGGUUAAGAACCUCAUUAACAUCCAUGAGGUUGUGGGUUCAAUCCCUGGCCCCACU